GACGAACGCUGGCGGCGUGCUUAACACAUGCAAGUCGAACGAUGAAGCCGGAGCUUGCUCCGGUGGAUUAGUGGCGAACGGGUGAGUAACACGUGAGCAAUCUGCCCUUGACUCUGGGAUAACUGCGGGAAACUGUAGCUAAUACCGGAUACGACACCUUGGGGCAUCCCAGGGUGUGGAAAGAAUUUCGGUGAAGGAUGAGCUCGCGGCCUAUCAGCUAGUUGGUGAGGUAAUGGCUAACCAAGGCGACGACGGGUAGCCGGCCUGAGCGGGUGACCGGCCACACUGGAACUGAGACACGGUCCAGACUCCUACGGGAGGCAGCAGUGGGGAAUAUUGCACAAUGGGCGAAAGCCUGAUGCAGCAACGCCGCGUGAGGGAUGAAGGCCUUCGGGUUGUAAACCUCUUUUAGCAGGGAAGAAGCGAAAGUGACGGUACCUGCAGAAAAAGCACCGGCUAACUACGUGCCAGCCGCCGCGGUAA
rnacentral:rRNA from 1 species